AGUGAAGAAUGAAGUGACACGAGAGUGAGCGGUUCUCUGAAGGAUCUGCCUGUGUAACUGAGCUUCUAUGGAGACAAUCCUGAAGAAUUCUAUUUUUAAAGGCAUAUGGAGAAAGGUAGGCUCCAUGCCCAGUGCAGAGCCCAACGUGAAGAUUGAACUCAUUACCCUGAGAUCAAGACCUGCGCCGACAUCAAGAGUUGGACCUUUAACUGACUGACCCACCCAGUUGUUCCUCAUUCAUCUUAUUUUAAAAGAAAUGCCCCUCCAACACUUUGCAGCUCCUGACUGAGAGGACAUCUGAGACACCUACUUUUCCAAGGCAGCAGCUCAAAUUUGAAGGCAGAUUAUUUAUUUAUUUAUUUGACAGAUCACAAGUAGGCAGAGAGGCAGGCAGAGAGAGAGGAGGAAGCAGGCUCCCCACUGAGCAGAGAGCCUGAUGCAGGACUCGAUCCUAGGACCACAGGACCAUGACUCGAGCCAAAGGCAGAGGCUCCAACCCACUGAGCCACCCAAAGAGAUCACAAGCAGGCAGAGAGAGAAGGAAGAGGCUCCCUGUUGAGCAGAGAGCCCGAUGUGGGCUCGAUCCCAGGACCCUGAGAUCAUGACCUGAGCCGAAGGCAGAGGAUUAACCCACUGAGCCACCCGGGUGCCCCAAUUCUUUUUUAUAUGAACAUAAUCAUAGUUAUUUUUAAGUUGCUAGGUGAUAACUCCAUUAUUCAUAUUCUAUGGAUCUGCUUCUAUGUUCUAUUAUUUCUCUUAAGUUUUGACUUAAUUAUAUGCUUAGUUGUUACUUUUUGUUUUCUUUGCUAAAUCCUAAUCUCUGCAUAUUAAAAAAAUAGCAAUAUCUUGAGGCUUAGGGUGAUGUUGUUUUCCACCCAGAGAAAAUUUGUUUAUUUCUGACAGGUGGGUAAGGGCAUUCGUCAUCAAAGUUUACUUUAAUUCAAAUAGGGCUUUUAAUCAUUUGAGACUAGUUUAUGUUUUGUUCAGCCUUAUUCCCAAGCCUUGGAGAUUUGCCAGUCCCUUCCCACUUGGCAGGUUCUGGGCUUGCAUUUUUUCCAUUUAGCCUCUUGUGUCUGUUAAAAUCUCUGCUCAGCUUCUCUGUCAACUCUUUGUACUGGAAAUAUAGGCAGCCAUAGAGGAAACUAGACUCAAAUAUAUAUGGAUUACUCCAUGUUUUUAUCUUCUGAAUUUUGAUUUCAUUAUUCUUUACUUUCUUUUUGUAUCUCCUAUGAAUUCAAACAUAUUAAAACAAUGUGCCCACAUUUAUUAGUUGUUUUAAGCUGGAAAAAUGAUCUGAAAUAUCUAGUUUAGCAGUAUCAGAUUUCCACUAAUUUUGGAAAUUUAA